UCUUACCUUGCUUAGAUUUGUUACCACUC
rnacentral:piRNA from 1 species